CACAGGCAACUCUGUGUCUAAGAAGUCAGCCAGUGCCACACCUCCAGCCGUGCACCGAGCACAGAAUGUGGGAUGGAGAUUGUUCACCUGCAGUGGUUGCUGGGCUGGAUUCUGGUGAAGGUUGUUUGGGUUCAAUGACCAGUGGGAUCCAGCUGUGGCUCGGACACUCAGCAGAGAGUCACGAGUUUGUGAGUUAGUAAGCACAGCAAACCCCAGGGGAAUAGAAGACCCUUUCACCAGGCAACAAAACAGUGCAGAAGCCAGCCCUCACUGUGGAGACCUGUGAAGCCUGGGCUGGAAGAAGAGCACGGCCUGAACAGGAGGUGAGACCAUUCCAGAAUCGUCUAUGGAACAAAUUUAUGUGAAAAGUCGAAUUUCAAGUGAAUAGAAAUUACUUGCU